rnacentral:tRNA from 1 species
GGCAGCAUGGUGUAGUGGUUUGAAUGUUGGACUAUGACUCUGGAAACCAGGGUUUGAUUCCCAGCUUGGGCA